GACAAAGUGAAACCACCCCUUUGACUCUUUUUGAACAGAGAAACCAGCAGACACACUUUCAGAACAGGUGGACCUUCAAGUCUGAAUGAGGACAUGACACCCUGCCCUCUAGAGGCAAUACCUGCAGGACUUGAUCAAAUUCCUGCAGAGAGAGAUGAGGAGCCAAAACACACAAAUCAGAACAGUCAGCAAAAAAUACAGCCGGAGGGCAUGGAGGCGGGCGACAUAAGGCAUAGACUGCAAAGUUUCAACUUUAUUCGUCCCACUAUGGAUGAAGCAGCAAAGAAAUCUUCUGGCAAGACAGAAUAAACAAUAUGAAUCACAUUUUAACCGUUUUUUUAUAUCCUGAUUAUGUUUUCUGACAGUUGCAUAAAAUUUAACAUACAAUUUCAAAUCUUAAAUUGAUAUACUAAAUUGAUCCUUUUUUAGUAUCUGUUCUCCACAAUUGGCUGCAGUCAUGUAGUAGUACAUUGUGUGUCUGUGUAGGUUACAAAUUAUUUUUUUUUAUUUACCAAAUCAUGUAAUACACACAGCCUUGCACAUCUGUUUUAAUAACAAUAUCCUGCCUAGCAUAUGCCUGCCUCAAUACAUGUGAAGCCAGCCUUCACCUCUUUUUUAACUGCUGCUAAUAAAGGGUAAGUAACACACCUUGGAACAAUCAUGCUCCAUUGUGUAUGUUUACAACACACUGAAUGUAUUAUUUAUUAUUAUCUAAUUCAGCUGGAUAAGCUCUGAUCCGUUAGACCGCAACUAAUUGUGCUCUAAAACCAUAAAUAUUAGGAGGUAGUUUUUUCAUACCUGCUGCUAUGAGUUGUUGCAACCACAAGAAUAUUAUUGAGUUUGAGAAAUAAUCCCUUGAUCACUGUCAGCACCACAGUUCAUUACAAAGUUGUUGAGUGCACAGUCAUGUAAUCUAAAACUAACUAAAGGUAAUUGAAAACAUGGUUGCCACCAAGUUAAAAACAUUUGAUUGUCUUUACACUGUAUGCAGUAAAAUUACUUUCCUAAAUUAUGUUUAACUCACAGUAUCAUUUGUGAUUUGUUGACUGUCAGCAAAAUGUUAUUUGUUUAUAAAUAAACGGCAUACAUGUUUAGAAGCA